rfam:Oryza glumipatula chromosome 3, whole genome shotgun sequence.
UGAUGCCUAUGAUGACUUGCAAGAUUAUUGCCUACAUUGUUUGACAAGUAUCUUUGUGAUAUUAAUUGCAAGUAGCUGAGGCUUGA